UGCCCGCUGCUCCCAGGUGCAUCCCAGCUCUUCCUCUCCAUGCGUCUCGCCACUCCUCUGGAUAUGGAGAACACCACAGUGCAGGAGCUGCUCCUGGCCAAGCUCCACAGGGACCUGCAGGCUGCCUUCCCAUGUGCCGGGCUUCUGCUGCAGUGGAGAGGGAAGAAGCUGAUCUGAGCCCAUCGCCGGAGGAUGCUGGGCGGGACUGAGCCAUCCCGCACCUCCUGUCCUUGUCCCUCUGGGUAACCCAUACAGCCCCAUCUGCAUCCCCGCACCCCAGUACCCCUCUGUGCCUCGUUUUCUACCCCUUCCCACAGACACUGUGCAGCCCCAUAGCACCGAUGAUAAAGAAGGAGCCCUGCAGCCCCCCACCCUGCCCCAUUAUCACCAUGCAGCAGUGGCCCUGCUGGAAGCCAGGGUACACCAGGGGGCCCCAUCAGCCCCCAACCGCCCAAGAGCUGUGCGUGCCAUGGGGCCAUGGAAAUCCUGUGGGCUGAGCUCCUUCCCUGUUUUUUUCCAGUCCCUGGUUGAGGAGACGGCCGCAGUGUCUGCCUCCCCUGCAGCAAAGUCAUUUAUUAACUGAUUAAUUAGCCAGAUAAAAUGAGAGCGAAGCAAUUAUUACUCUAAGCAAGUCACCUCGCAGGGAGAUUAAAAAGUGGAAUAAUGAGC
rnacentral:lncRNA from 1 species